AGUAAUGUUUUAUUUGUUAGCAUAGCAUGAUAUUAGAUUUAAACACUUAAUAAAUUUUUAAAUCAAUCACUUUGUCUCUGCACAAUGAACAUUAUCAAAUAUUAUUAAUGUUGUAAAAUAUAUUGUUCAUUGUUAGUUCAUAUUAGCUAAGGCAUUACCAAAUGUUAAGGAAUAAACUCUUAUAGUAAAGUGUUACUAAAUUUUCUUUUACCAUUUCCUUCACAAUGUCUAUUUAUUUCUAUGGCUAACAGAUUUUGUAACAUUUGUCUUUUUUACAGUCUUACCAUUGCUUGUAAACUGGAUUGGGUAAGAUGGAUCAUCUUUAAAGGCACCAGGAGUUAAGGCAGAUGUGGAGGCACAACGGGUGAUACCAGACACACACCAAGCACAUUAUGUUCGGACAUUCAAUCAUGACAGGAUCCAUGUGGAUGCUGUCCAUUGAGGAAAGAGUUUGUUCAGCGGUUUCUGGAUAGAAUUAAUUCCAAAGAUGGGAAAAAGUGCACAUCCAGACAAGGAGCAAGCAAAAAGACAAGGAACUUGGUGCAGAGAAAAGCUGUGGCCAUUAACCCCCAUGUGAACAGCUUCAUGCAGUCCCUGAUUGAGUUCGAAUGGACGACUUCAAAGUAAAGGCCACUGUGGUCUGUCUGCCACAGUUUAAUGCAUUUAUUUUUAGUGUUAAAUGAAAUUUAAGUAGAAUAUUUAAAACUAUGGGCCAGUGUUCUUUUUACCACAGUGAAAUGUUACCUUUUAGUCGAUGAUGGACUUUAAACUGAAAACUUCAAACUAUGGAACAGUGUUCUAUUUGCCAGAGUUAAAUAUGUUACAGCAGGGGUCUCCAAACUUGUUUAUACUUGUUGAUUUUAUUUUAUGUUACUUGAUUAUAUGUUUAUUAUUGUUUAAAAUCUUGUUUUAAAUAUGUUUGUUUCAAUUAAAUGUUUUUUUAAAUAAAAUUUUGAUACAUA